rnacentral:rRNA from 1 species
UACACUCCUACGGGAGGCAGCAGUGGGGAAUUUUGGACAAUGGGCGAAAGCCUGAUCCAGCAAUGCCGCGUGAGUGAAGAAGGCCUUCGGGUUGUAAAGCUCUUUUGUCAGGGAAGAAACGGUGAGAGCUAAUAUCUUUUGCUAAUGACGGUACCUGAAGAAUAAGCACCGGCUAACUACGUGCCAGCAGCCGCGGUAAUACGUAGGGUGCAAGCGUUAAUCGGAAUUACUGGGCGUAAAGCGUGCGCAGGCGGUUUUGUAAGUCUGAUGUGAAAUCCCCGGGCUCAACCUGGGAAUUGCAUUGGAGACUGCAAGGCUAGAAUCUGGCAGAGGGGGGUAGAAUUCCACGUGUAGCAGUGAAAUGCGUAGAUAUGUGGAGGAACACCGAUGGCGAAGGCAGCCCCCUGGGUCAAGAUUGACGCUCAUGCACGAAAGCGUGGGGAGCAAACAGGAUUAGAUACCCCGGUAGUCCCAUGAU